GUAGGUGGCAAGCGUUGUCCGCAAUUAUUGGGCGUAAAGCGCGCGCAGGCGGUUCUUUAAGUCUGAUGUGAAAGCCCACGGCUCAACCGUGGAGGGUCAUUGGAAACUGGAGAACUUGAGUACAGAAGAGGAAAGCGGAAUUCCACGUGUAGCGGUGAAAUGCGUAGAGAUGUGGAGGAACACCAGUGGCGAAGGCGGCUUUCUGGUCUGUAACUGACGCUGAGGCGCGAAAGCGUGGGGGGGAGCAAACAGGAUUAGAUACCCUGGUAGUCCACGCCGUAAACGAUGAGUGCUAAGUGUUAGGGGGUUUCCGCCCCCCCCUUAGUGCUGCAGCUAACGCAUUAAGCACUCCGCCUGGGGAUACGGCCGCAAGGCUG
rnacentral:rRNA from 1 species